AUUCAAAUGACGAGUUUCAAAUAGAACGAGACAUGCGUCCUGGAU
rnacentral:hammerhead_ribozyme from 1 species